rnacentral:rRNA from 1 species
UUUCCAGACUCCUACGGGAGGCAGCAGUGGGGAAUAUUGCACAAUGGGGGAAACCCUGAUGCAGCGACGCCGCGUGAGUGAAGAAGUAUUUCGGUAUGUAAAGCUCUAUCAGCAGGGAAGAAAAUGACGGUACCUGACUAAGAAGCCCCGGCUAACUACGUGCCAGCAGCCGCGGUAAUACGUAGGGGGCAAGCGUUAUCCGGAUUUACUGGGUGUAAAGGGAGCGUAGACGGCAGCGCAAGUCUGAAGUGAAAUCCCACGGCUUAACCAUGGAACUGCUUUGGAAACUGUGCAGCUGGAGUGCAGGAGAGGUAAGCGGAAUUCCUAGUGUAGCGGUGAAAUGCGUAGAUAUUAGGAGGAACACCAGUGGCGAAGGCGGCUUACUGGACUGUAACUGACGUUGAGGCUCGAAAGCGUGGGGAGCAAACAGGAUUAGAUACCCCCGUAC